AGGACGAACGCUGGCGGCGUGCUUAACACAUGCAAGUCGAGCGGAAAGGCCUUUCGGGGUACUCGAGCGGCGAACGGGUGAGUAACACGUGAGUAAUCUGCCCAUCGCUUCAGGAUAGCCAUCGGAAACGGUGAUUAAUACUGGAUAUGACAUUCCUUCGCAUGUUGGGGUGUGGUAAAGUUUUUUCGGCGGUGGAUGUGCUCGCGGCCUAUCAGCUUGUUGGUGGGUAAUGGCCUACCAAGGCUUUGACGGGUAGCCGGCCUGAGAGGGUGACCGGCCACGACGUGGACUGACGCACGGCCCAGACCUCCGUACGGGAGGCAGCGAGUAGGGAAUAGUUGGACAAGUGGGCGGAAGCCUGAUCCAGCAACGCCGCGUGGAGGACGACGGCGUUCGGUUACGUAACCUU
rnacentral:rRNA from 1 species